GACGAACGCUGGCGGCGUGCCUAAUACAUGCAAGUAGAACGCUGAAGGAGGAGCUUGCUCUUCUGGAUGAGUUGCGAACGGGUGAGUAACGCGUAGGUAACCUGCCUGGUAGCGGGGGAUAACUAUUGGAAACGAUAGCUAAUACCGCAUAACAGUAGAUGUUGCAUGACAUUUACUUAAAAGGUGCAAUUGCAUCACUACCAGAUGGACCUGCGUUGUAUUAGCUAGUUGGUGGGGUAACGGCUCACCAAGGCGACGAUACAUAGCCGACCUGAGAGGGUGAUCGGCCACACUGGGACUGAGACACGGCCCAGACUCCUACGGGAGGCAGCAGUAGGGAAUCUUCGGCAAUGGACGGAAGUCUGACCGAGCAACGCCGCGUGAGUGAAGAAGGUUUUCGGAUCGUAAAGCUCUGUUGUAAGAGAAGAAAGAGUGUGAGAGUGGAAAGUUCACACUGUGACGGUAUCUUACCAGAAAGGGACGGCUAACUACGUG
rnacentral:rRNA from 1 species